rnacentral:rRNA from 1 species
AAUGAACGCUAGCGGGAUGCUUUACACAUGCAAGUCGAACGAGUGGCGGACGGGUGAGUAAGAUAUCGGAAGUGCCCAGUAGCGGGGGAUAACUACUGGAAACGUUAGCUAAUCCCGCAUACUAUCGGAUAACCAAUAGGGGAUUAGCUAGUAGGUGGGGUAAUGGCUCACCUAGGCGACGAUCCCUAGCUGGGCUGAGAGUAUGAUCAGCCACACUGUGACUGAGACACGUACCAGACUCCGACGGAGGCAGCAGUGGGUAAUAUUGAACAAUGGGCGAAAGCCGGAUGCAGCCAUGCCGCGUGUAUGAAGAAGGCCCUAGGGUUGUAAAGUACUUUCAGUCGGGAGGCGUUACCGACAGAAGAAGCACCGGCUAACUCCGUGCCAGCAGCCGCGGUAAUAC